AAGGGUGUGUUCGUUUGUUCCGGA
rnacentral:miRNA from 1 species